rnacentral:rRNA from 1 species
UACAGAGUCCCAAGCGUUGUUCGGAUUCAUUGGGCGUAAAGGGUGCGUAGGCGGGUCUUUAAGUCAGGGGUGAAAUCCGUGGAGCUCAACGUCCAGAACUGCCUUUGAUACUGAAGAUCUUGAGUUCGGGAGAGGUGAGUGGAACUGCGAAGUGUAGAGGUGAAAUUCGUAGAUAUUCGCAAGAACACCAGUGGCGAAGGCGGCUCACUGGCCCGGUACUGACGCUGAGGUGCGAAAGCGUGGGGAGCA